ensembl:lncRNA
UUUUAAAAGACAAUAGCGAUAUUGGAGAAGAUAAUAGUAAUAUCAGUCAUCAUUUAUUGAUUACUUACUGGCACUUCAUAUGGAUUAUUUCAUUUCAUCUCCCCAAGAACCCUGUGAGGGAAGAACUAGGGAAACUGAGUCUCACGGAGGUUAAGUAACUGGCCUAAAGAAUUGCCAAGGUGGAACUAGGAAUUAAACUGUGCUCUACUGGACUCCACAUCACAAUUUCUACACUGCUGUGCUAACCUCUCAACUGCUCCACAAUCCACAAUUUUGCUGGCAAUAUCUAGGCUUAUUAUUUAAAGCAACAAAGAUCAAAACAAGCCUUCUUGGAUCCAGAAUAAAUGCCUCACUGUGUAUCCAUUCAUUUAUCAGUGAUUAACAUGAUAGCUCCUAAGUUCACAGAGCUAACACUAAAUUCUCUCCCAUGGUAUGGAAGGUGGGGAAUCAGUAAUUCUUUGAGAUAAAAGGCAUCCCUGAGCUGAGUUUCAAAGUCCAUGGCCCUCUUCCCUGGAUCUUUUCCCCAACAGUCUCACUGUCUCUCCCACCUCACAUGCAUAUACUUGUUUUCCUUCCUUUGGGGCCCAGGUCCUGUCCAGAUUUCUCAUCACCACUCUAUCUGCAAAUCCAGAGAUGUACCACGAACUGCUUCAGCACAACUGUUUCACCGGGGUCUACUCUGUGCCACUUCCAAAAUAAUAAAAUUGAAGCCAGGCUCUCUGGGGAAGCCAUUGCCACCUUAUAUUGUUCAGGUAGGAGACCAUAGUAAUGAUUAUGACAGCUAUUAUUCAGUGAGCUUUUACAGUUGUUUAUCUAAAUUGCUAACAUAGACGUAGGCAAGAAGGAAAGUUCAGCAUUCUCUAAAUGCACCCCAAGGAUAAUCUCACAUUAUUGCUUUUAUUUCCCCUUCAAUAUUCUUCUGGAAUACAGAACGUAGACACAGCAAUGAGGGAAGGAGAUGCUGACAAUUUUGCAGAAUAUUUCUUUAAUGUAGUUCAAGUUUCAAACAUGGAGAAUGCAAAGAAAUAUAUUUGCUAUUAGAAAGAUAUAUGCAAAAUACAGACAACUGUUUUCAAUGCACCAUAAUGUGUUCUGUACUUGACUAAAAAAAUACACUAAAGAGGGAAGUCUAAGCCACUAGUCAGCUGCUUGGGUAUUGAUUAUCAUAAAUACUGUAGUGUGAUUCCCAGAUGGUGUGACUGAGUUCACAGUAUGGGCAUAGGUAGCAAUACUAAGAUAGUAGGACAAAUGCUUGUGUCUAGGAUUUUAUUACAUAAAAGCAGGCUCAAAUUAGCAGCAGUUAUAAAAUUACCAUUACUCAUUUUAAGAUAGUCCUUUGCUUUCAUGCCUUUCUUGCCUUUUUUUUAACAUUGGUCAAAAGGAAAUAGUAACCUCUCAACCUGAAUGAAACAAAUAGUAGUAUUUACUUUAACUAUUGUAUAUUCUGAAAUUAACUCCAUUUUUUUAAAGAUAAUGUUUAUUGUAGAGUUCUAUGUUUUGUUUUUUGUUUGCCUAUCUAGUUUUACUACUUAUUAUUUAACAGGGUGUGGAAGUUAGCCUCAUUCAUUGAGC